rnacentral:lncRNA from 1 species
CGCUGUCACUCAUCCGUCUCAGGCUCUCAGCUCAGGCGACGACAGAACAGAAAGCAAGCUAUCAGAUCAGAACAAGUCCUUGAGAGUGGGUAGCUUGAACUCGCCGGAGGUGGAGAGCGGGAUGGUGAAGUUGCCAACGAUGGGGAGGUCGACGGUGAGCCCGACCUGGAGCUCGUAGUCGAGGUCCCAGUCCCUACCAACGUCGCGGACGAUGGAGACGAUGAAGUCGUAGGGCACCUUGGCGGGGAUCUCCAGCGAGGUGGUGCCGCUGGCGGCGAUCCACCCGGGGUCCGGCAUGGUCCCCGACGCCACCUCCCUGCCGGCGCACCGGAGCGUGUAGGUCACCUCGCAGAUGGGGAGGCGGUGGUCGUAGGGGUUGGACACGUUCACGCUGCUGUGCAGCGUGAUGCACUCCCUGCUCAGACCUUUGAACGUCACCGCGUCCAGCGUCGCCUCCGGCUUCGGGAUGUGCGCGAUCUUGUCGGCGACGAACUCCUUCGCCUUGUCCA